CCGAAAGGCACCCUUGAAAGACCAGAGACACCAGCCAGACAAUAUCUACAAAUUGUCAAGUGUGAUCUCACAUCUGGGAGACAACAUGUAUACAGGCCACUACAUCAGUGAUGUUUUGGACAGCCGUGGCAGUGGGUGGCUCUGCCUGGAUGACGCACAUGUCUUGAGGACAGAUGAGGCCACUGUGCUGAAGGCGAUUGCACAGACUGCCUACAUCCUGUUCUAUGUCUGCAGACAUUGUAUGUACAUGUAAGAUCUCCCUGUCAUUUCUCAUUGAAGUGGAGCAGGUGAAGGAGACCAGGCCCCUCACUACCAGGAGAACCCAUCAUUAAACUAAGGGAGAGGCACAG